GUUUCAAUGAUUUUAUUGAAAUUUUUGAAGAAUCCCCAUACAUUUCCUUAUAACACUGACACCAAAGAAACCAGGCUUGGGCUACCUGUGGUUACGUCACUGUUCGCAUUACUCUUUUAUUAGUUUUGCGUAAUAUAAAUUAUUAAAAUAUAUUGUUAAUUGUGAACAAUUCGGUUUGGAGACUCCAAUGAAAUAUUCUAAUGAAAACAGCAUUCCCCAAAAAGUUACUAAAAUAAACCUUCUGUCAAUUCAACAGCCCCAUAGCUUGCAUUGAAACUGACCAUUGAAAAUCUUCAAGACUUCAGAUGAUUAAUACCGUGCUGAGAGAAGCUAUCGAAAACUAAACAAAAAUUCAGUACGGAGUAGUCAAAUAUUUGCAUCUGGCCUCUGAAUCGUAUAAUUAUGGUUUUUAUGGUUUUUUCUUUUUGCUUUUUAUAUAAAUGUGGUUGAGUGAAAUAAGGGAACGUUACUUUGACUGUCAAAAAAUUCCGGCCAAUUUAAGAUUGCAGAUCGACCAGUCAUUUCAUCCCAAAUAACCGAAUGUCUUAUGUUAACUUUGUUAUCAAGUAAACUUUACGUCGGUAAUUUGUGGAUCAGGACCGGAUGGCCCAAGAAAUAUAUUGAUUCACUGUAAUUACGGUAAAAGUAACUAUGGAAUAUUUGAUAUCUGAAAUUUCGUAUUGUAAACACAAAUUAUUUGUAAAGUUUAAUAUUUGAAAGGUUUCUCAUUAUUUUUAAUUUCAAUUUGUCGAUUUGUGCUCCAAUGAACAACUAGGUUUCCAAGAAGUGUCGCCACAAACAGUGGGAUAAAAACCAAAACCUGUAGGUGAAAAGAAAUAGCUGUGUAUCUGGUAAGAGAAAAUUGAUUGCCUUCCUAAAAAAGUUCUGCAAUGUCAUAUCAUCAUAUCAAAGCAAGCUACAAUGAUUUGAAAACUUUUUCGUCCAUUAAUAACAUUUUAUUUAUAUAUUUUAGUCGCCAAAUCUGAAUUGCUUGGAUCUUUGUCGUUGGUACUGUAUAGUUGUUAUUUCUUGUUUUGAAUUAUUGGAAUAGCAUAGCAAGAUGAAAGCGACAUUUACAAAGUCGAUCAAGGAUGAACCCAAGAAAUUGUUCUAACUUUGGAGUGUGGGUAGAAGGCUCACAAACAGGAAUAGUAGAUCGGGACCACUUGCGUAGGCUCGGGAAGAAGGAGAAGGAUCGCCAUGCGAUCGAAAAAGCGAUUGCGGUCUUAGACUCUGGGCUCAGCAAGUUCAUUUUGAAGAAGACAUGCACAACAACAUGCUGGGUUGUAACAAAAAGUUGCGAGAGUUGAGAAUGCAAGCCGUAAAUGCGACAAUGGUAGGCAAAACGAGGAAACAGAAAUUGGCCGCCAUAUUGGAGAAGCUUCGCCACGGUAGAAAAAGCCUGGGAACCAGGCAGGCGUUGUCAAAAGUACAACUUUAUCAAGUGGAAGUUCUCGUUUGUAAUUUACUAUGCAAAGUGACUAUCCAUUGCAAUAAACAAGAUCUAAUGUAAUGCCAAGACGUUCAUCAUCCAACUUAUGAACUGUAAAUCUUAGCUUAUCUUUUUCUUUCGCAAGUUUGUUUCCUUCUGCUUGGCUAUAUAGUCCAGUAGCUUAAUGCUUAAAUCGUGACCGAGGUGACUAAAGCACCAAAUUUGGCACAGAACUUCGUUUUGAUGUAACAAACGAUUUCAGAAGGGGUGCCCAG